AUUGAACGCUGGCGGCAGGCCUAACACAUGCAAGUCGAGCGGAUGAAGGGAGCUUGCUCCUGGAUUCAGCGGCGGACGGGUGAGUAAUGCCUAGGAAUCUGCCUGGUAGUGGGGGAUAACGUCCGGAAACGGGCGCUAAUACCGCAUACGUCCUGAGGGAGAAAGUGGGGGAUCUUCGGACCUCACGCUAUCAGAUGAGCCCAGGUCGGAUUAGCUAGUUGGUGGGGUAAAGGCCUACCAAGGCGACGAUCCGUAACUGGUCUGAGAGGAUGAUCAGUCACACUGGAACUGAGACACGGUCCAGACUCCUACGGGAGGCAGCAGUGGGGAAUAUUGGACGAUGGGCGAAAGCCUGAUCCAGCCAUGCCGCGUGUGUGAAGAAGGUCUUCGGAUUGUAAAGCACUUUAAGUUGGGAGGAAGGGCAGUAAGUUAAUACCUUGCUGUUUUGACGUUACCAACAGAAUAAGCACCGGCUAACUUCGUG
rnacentral:rRNA from 1 species